GCGCGGUUAGUAUAGUGGUCAGUACUCUCGUUUCCCAAACGCCGCUGUCAAGGACCCAAAAGAGGUUAAUCAAACGAGCGGCCCGGGUUCGAUUCCCGGACUGCGCA